UCCAUAGCUUUACCUUAGCAUGACUAAGUCCUGCUGAAUUUCAUGGAUAGAGGAGGUCAUGGUAGCAUUCAUGGAUAGAGGAUGCUCCCACUUCAUGGAUAGAGGUCAUGCUAGCAUUCAUGGCAUAGACAAGGUCUAGGGAACUCAAAGGCUACUGACAGCAUUGGGAAAAGGCCACAUGUGGAUAAGUGUGGAUAAUUCCCACCCCCUCGGCCCCCUGUUAAUGUGGGUGAAAACCUCUGUUUUCCUUAUGAAACCCCAGGAAUUGAAAGCAGAAAGAUCCCUCUCAAAACCUUUAGGGUUCCUAACCUGUGGUAAGUAAAGAAUGUUACUUUCUAAUAGGCCCAGGAGACCCAUGUUCUUGAGACCUCAAGAAAAGAGGAAUUUACUCAACUCAUAGGUAUUUGAGGCUACCAACCCAUGGCUGGCCUCAGCUGUAAAAGGUCUUAUCUGAGAUUCCGUGGGGAACAGGGUGUCAUUAAAGCCGAUUUAAAGGCCUGUGUGAAAAACAAUUACUCAUGCUGCACUUUACGCAAAUAAUCAGGCCAAGUAUAAGACUAAGGUUUAUUUUACAAGCAACUUAGUCCUAUCAUGAUUUGUUUUUGACAAAAAUGGGGACUAGAGAGAGAAAAAUUAUGUUUCAAUGCUUACCAUAUACUUGUUAUUAAAUUCUCGUCUCAUCUGUUGUUUUUAGGUUUUUGCCUACAUUCUAGACUAACCCUGUUUAUCCCCGUGAACCAACCAGUGAUCUCUGGCUGUAUCUCAGAAGAAACAGACAGAUGGGUAAUAUAAAGAUCUAGAUCAAUAGUCUAGUUCUGGACAAUUAUCCUGCAAAGCCUGCAAGGUGCGGCCAUUAAACUUCAAAUGGUGUUGCUAAUGGAACCAGAUCUGCCCUAGUACGUCACUGAAGAGAGACUAAAGAAAAAAUUGUCUAAUUUCAUAGGACAUUAUAGAUCCUGUGAGUCUUCUAAGGUACCUCCCUGCUUGCUAGGGCAUAGGAAUUUGCACAUGGGAAUCUACAGUCUUUUAUGCCAAGAAACAAUUCCCAGAAAUCAUUUCCUUCUCAAGUGGCUUUCUGGCCUCCCUGGAGCUCAACACAGUUUUUAGGGCUCAAGGUCCCUCUUUCUAUUUAUUUUCUGCUCCCAUCAUUUCUUUAUUUUUCCUUCCUGACCAAGAUGUUUUUUUUUUUCUUUUUUAUUACAGGAACAAAAAGACAUAUUAUUUUCUGCCUGUUCCUUGUGGGAAAAAAUUCAAAUUUUCUAAAUUUUAUAAGGGCUGCAAUUUCCGAAAUAUUCUUCCAUUCAUUCAGGAAGUACUUGAAUAUCUACUAAAUGCCAACCACUCUUUUCUGGAUGUUUAGCAGUAAGCAAAAACAAAGUUAUGCUUGUGGAAAGAAACAAAAAAAAUAAGCAAUUUAAAAAAUAAAUAUAAACCAUAUUCUGAGAAUGCUAAUUUUUGCAUUUUGUAAGGGGAUAAAUGGAGAAAUGCUCACUAAAAAAGUGACAUUUGAGGAGAUACAUGAGUGAAAUACAGAAUUUGGAAAGAAAAAUUAGUAACUGCAACAUCCUUGAUACAGGCUGGAGUUGGCUAGCUUUAUUCAGGAUUAUCAAGAAGGCCAAUAUAAUUGGAGCCGAGAGGGCAAAGGGAGGAAGGAAUAGUUAUAUAAUAAAAACCAAUGUGGACUUCCAGCCUUUUUUGUCUACCUUCACCCCUUUCCAGAGUCAGCACAGAGGUGGCUAUGGAAAAAGAGAAAAAAAAUCUUCAAUAAAAACGGAAAGUAAAAAGAGUGGAAACUAAUAUCUCAAAUGUUUUCUAAACUAACAAAGAUUCCACAGAAUUUCAGACUUUGGACAAAUGUUAUCAUUCUUAUUAGAUGGUCAUUCUUGGAAUUGUUUCUGCUUAGAAUUAUCUGAAAAUGGCACUGCUUGCAGUUCCCUCCCAGUUGAUUCAUAUCAUGUACUUGUUGCAAUGUUAGUCAUCCAGGAAUUUUAUCCUAAUUAUAUCUGCUGCUCCUUUGAUUGCAAUGAAUUUAAUUCACCUUACCUAUUAACUUACUUAAACUCUUUUAGUAUUGUUAAGCCAUUCACAAUAAGCUAAAAGGAAGCUAAAGGUUUGUUUAUGUUCUUUAGUCUAUGCUUAAAAUAACACAUAGACUUUUGCAGGGUCCACAAAACUAUUGUACAAAAGUGCACAAUAUAAAAUUCUUUAAGAAUUUGGGCAGUGUUUAUCCAAAUAUUUGUGAAAUGCAAAGACAUUAUACUUUCUUGUCUUUCAGUGAAUUCACAUAAACAUUAUUAGGCCACCCCUUUAAUUCAUGCAUUAUUGACAAUGUGGUUGAUACUGGUUGAAGAAACAGUCAUUGAGGAAUACUAAAAAUUGUCCUUU
rnacentral:lncRNA from 1 species